AAGAAAUUAGUUAAAAUAAUAACAUUAAAAUGUCAAAUUAAAAUUAUUUAUUAAAAAUAUUUCUUA
rnacentral:tRNA from 1 species